rnacentral:rRNA from 1 species
UGGGGAAUUUUGGACAAUGGGCGAAAGCCUGAUCCAGCAAUGCCGCGUGUGUGAAGAAGGCCUUCGGGUUGUAAAGCACUUUUGUCCGGAAAGAAAUCCUUGGCUCUAAUACAGUCGGGGGAUGACGGUACCGGAAGAAUAAGCACCGGCUAACUACGUGCCAGCAGCCGCGGUAAUACGUAGGGUGCAAGCGUUAAUCGGAAUUACUGGGCGUAAAGCGUGCGCAGGCGGUUUGCUAAGACCGAUGUGAAAUCCCCGGGCUCAACCUGGGAACUGCAUUGGUGACUGGCAGGCUAGAGUAUGGCAGAGGGGGGUAGAAUUCCACGUGUAGCAGUGAAAUGCGUAGAGAUGUGGAGGAAUACCGAUGGCGAAGGCAGCCCCCUGGGCCAAUACUGACGCUCAUGCACGAAAGCGUGGGGAGCAAACAGGAUUAGAUACCCUGGUAGUCCACGCCCUAAACGAUGUCAACUAGUUGUUGGGGACUUCAUUUCCUUAGUAACGUAGCUAACGCGUGAAGUUGACCGCCUGGGGAGUACGGUCG